UACGUAGGGUGCAAGCGUUAAUCGGAAUUACUGGGCGUAAAGCGUGCGCAGGCGGUUCUAUAAGGCAGAUGUGAAAUCCCCGGGCUCAACCUGGGAACUGCAUUUGUGACUGUAGAGCUGGAGUACGGUAGAGGGGGAUGGAAUUCCGCGUGUAGCAGUGAAAUGCGUAGAGAUUACUAAGAACACCAAUGGCGAAGGCAGCUUGCUGGGCCUUAUCUGACGCUGAGGUACGAAAGCGUGGGGAGCGAACAGG
rnacentral:rRNA from 1 species